UACAUGGGGUGCAAACGUUGCUCGGAAUUAUUGGGCGUAAAGCGCGCGUAGGCGGUUACUUAAGUCGGAUGUGAAAGCCCUCGGCUUAACUGAGGAAGUGCACCCGAAACUGAGUAGCUAGAGUACGAAAGAGGGUCGCGGAAUUCCCGGUGUAGAGGUGAAAUUCGUAGAUAUCGGAAAGAAUGUCAGUGGCGAAGGCGAUUGCCUGGCUCAAUACUGACGCUGAGGCGCGAGAGCGUGGGGAGCAAACAGG
rnacentral:rRNA from 1 species